rnacentral:rRNA from 1 species
UACGAAGGGGGCUAGCGUUGCUCGGAAUUACUGGGCGUAAAGGGCGCGUAGGCGGAUAGUUUAGUCAGAGGUGAAAGCCCAGGGCUCAACCUUGGAAUUGCCUUUGAUACUGGCUAUCUUGAGUUCGGGAGAGGUGAGUGGAAUGCCGAGUGUAGAGGUGAAAUUCGUAGAUAUUCGCAAGAACACCAGUGGCGAAGGCGGCUCACUGGCCCGAUACUGACGCUGAGGCACGAAGCGUGGGAGCAAACAGG